UAGGGAAUCUUCGGCAAUGGACGAAAGUCUGACCGAGCAACGCCGCGUGAGUGAAGAAGGUUUUCGGAUCGUAAAACUCUGUUGUUAGAGAAGAACAAGGACGUUAGUAACUGAACGUCCCCUGACGGUAUCUAACCAGAAAGCCACGGCUAACUACGUGCCAGCAGCCGCGGUAAUACGUAGGUGGCAAGCGUUGUCCGGAUUUAUUGGGCGUAAAGCGAGCGCAGGCGGUUUCUUAAGUCUGAUGUGAAAGCCCCCGGCUCAACCGGGGAGGGUCAUUGGAAACUGGGAGACUUGAGUGCAGAAGAGGAGAGUGGAAUUCCAUGUGUAGCGGUGAAAUGCGUAGAUAUAUGGAGGAACACCAGUGGCGAAGGCGGCUCUCUGGGCUGUAACUGACGCGGAGGCUCGAAAGCGUGGGGAGCAAACAGG
rnacentral:rRNA from 1 species